rnacentral:rRNA from 1 species
GAUGAACGCUAGCGGCAGGCCUAACACAUGCAAGUCGAGGGGUAACUAGAGUGAUAGCAAUAUUACUUUGGCUAGACCGGCGCACGGGUGCGUAACACGUAUGCAACCUACCUUAUACUGGGGAAUAACUUCGAGAAAUCGGCGCUAAUACCCCAUAACACUGCGGAGAGGCAUCUCUUUGCAGUUAAAGCUCCGGCGGUAUAAGAUGGGCAUGCGCCCAAUUAGCUAGUUGGUGGGGUAACGGCUCACCAAGGCUACGAUUGGUAGGGGUUCUGAGAGGAUGAUCCCCCACACUGGUACGGAGACACGGACCAGACUCCUACGGGAGGCAGCAGUGAGGAAUAUUGCGCAAUGGACGAAAGUCUGACGCAGCCAUGCCGCGUGCAGGAUGACGGCCCUAUGGGUUGUAAACUGCUUUUGUACGGGAAUAAACCCUUCUACGUGUAGGAGGCUGAAGGUACCGUAAGAAUAAGCACCGGCUAACUCCGUGCCAGCCGCCGCCGUAA